UGGACCAUUGAUAAGGACUGGUGGCACAUGUCAAGGAUGAUGGAUAAUAUGUGUCCGAUGUCUGAGGUCCGA